UAGAAACAUAGAAAAGUAUGGUCCUCUGUGGUUAAGCAAUCAUCCAAAAGUUGUUAAUUACUGUCAAAGUUAAUGGAAUAUGCAGAGACAAAAAAGUCCGAGCAGAGAACUUUAGUUUCGCGACACAAUUAUAGGCAACUGAUGCCCUUAAAAAAAAACUGUUAUAGAUUAAAAAGUAGAAGAUUUGAUCAACAUAUGAUUGUAAACAAAGUAGAGUGUCGAUGAAAAUUUGGU
rnacentral:lncRNA from 1 species